AGUUUAUCUUAAACACUUGUUACAUGGCACCUGAUACUUUAUUACAUUUCUAGUGGCGGACGGGUGAGUACACGUUGGAACCUGCCCCAAAGUGAGGAAUAAGCCACCGAAAGGUGGUCUAAUACUUCAUAAUAUCCAUCUCGUAUGGAUUAAAGCUUUAUGCGCUUUGGGAGGGGCCUGCGUAACAUUAGCUAGUUGGUGAGGUAAAAGCUCACCAAGGCUUCGAUGUUUAACUGGUUUGAGAGGAUGACCAGUCACACUGGGACUGAGAUACGGCCCAGACUCCUACGGGAGGCAGCAGUAAGGAAUCUUCCACAAUGGGGCAACCCUGAUGGAGCAAUACCGCGUGCAGGAUGAAGCGUUUCGGCGUGUAAACUGCUUUUAUCACCGAAGAUUAUGACUGUAGGUGAAGAAUAAGGACCGGCUAACUACGUG
rnacentral:rRNA from 1 species